GAGGCGACAGCGAUUGCGCAGCAAAAAACGUCUUCGUGUACUUAGCGUUCCAUCGGUGGCAAUCCUUCGACAUCAUGUCUUUCCGAGGAAACGAAUGCAGGAUCUACGUCGGAAAUUUGCCCCCGGACAUCAGGAGCAAGGAUAUUGAGGAUUUGUUUUACAAAUUCGGCAAGAUAACUUUCAUCGACUUGAAGAACCGUAGGGGUCCGCCAUUCGCUUUUGUUGAAUUCGACGACCCCAGAGAUGCAGAAGAUGCGGUGCAAGCCCGAGAUGGCUAUGACUAUGAUGGCUACCGCUUGCGUGUGGAAUUCCCUCGGGGCUCUGCACCUGGGCGAGGCAGCAUGGGACCUGGCAGGGGCAGGGGUCCCCCUGCCCGGAGGUCUCAGUACAGAGUUCUUGUUUCAGGUUUGCCCCCUAGUGGCAGCUGGCAGGACCUGAAGGAUCACAUGCGGGAGGCUGGUGAUGUUUGCUAUGCUGAUGUGUUCAAGGAUGGUACUGGUGUUGUGGAGUUUCUCCGAUAUGAGGACAUGAAAUAUGCUGUCAAGAAGCUGGAUGACUCGCGCUUUCGGUCCCAUGAGGGUGAAGUGUCGUACAUCAGGGUGCGUGAAGACUACAGCAGCCGCUCGCGCAGCCGAAGCCGCAGCUACUCUCCACGCCGCUCUCGUGGUUCUCCCACGUACUCUCCAGCCCGCCGGUCUGGGUCACGAACACCAUCACGCUCCCGCUCCUGCUCGCACUCCAACUGAACUGGGAACAUUUUGAGGUCUGAUGUACGAUGGACAGCAUUGUGCGCUCCACAGGCAACCUUUCCGACCAGGGUUUUUUUUUUUUUUUUUUUUUGUGAAUCAUUGUAGCUUCAUUACUUUUGUUUUCUUGCAUUGCUGUGGUUGAUCCAAAGUGUUGUUGCACUGUGUUAAUUUCGGGCCGUAGCAUUGGGUACCAUCCCAUCAUUGUUCAAAAUCCGGAAGGUCAGCUGUCCGCUGUUAGAAAUUUUUUUACUCCAAAGUAGAGUUCCCAGGCAAUCAUUGAUGCUGAGCAUUAGCAACUGGCUUCCAGCUUUAUUAGAGUAGUCAGAAUUAGCACCUGUCAUACUAAUUCUAUGUCCAAAUGAUUUUCGUGCAUAUGCAUAGAUUAAUUUUUGUUCUUUAUUCAAGUACUGCUUAAAUUGUCGCUUUUGUAGUGUGGGAAUGUCAUUUUUGCAUCACCAUUUCAUUAGCCCACCGUUUUGUGACAAGCCAUGUACAGAUUGUUUUUCACCUUUAUUCUUGUCACCAGAGUAGCGCACAUGUAGAAAUCGUAUGCAUACACAUGCACUUUCAGCCUGUUCAUUUGUAUGUUGGCACAUCAUGCAAUCUUAAUCGGGUAGCACUUAAGCUUACACCAGCUGCAGCAAAAAGCACAUUUCGAUAUGAGUGUUUGUGGUGUGUUGUUUGCAAAGCAAAAAAAAAAAAAAACUUGUCUUGUGAAUGGCGAUGCCCAUCUCUUGUCUCAAUCUGUUUGUCUGUCUAGAUGCCACAAAACGGGAGGAUGGCACACGUCGCUGAGGAUCACUAAAGUGGAUAUGUUUGCAGACACUCACAUUUGGAUCGGAGGAGCUUAGCGGGUGGAUUGUGAAAAAAAGGUGUGGUGCUGCCCUACCGAGGAUUUGGCAAGGCGCACGCGGCAGGAAGGGGAGAAAAACAAAAAACGUUUUGUUCAGUAGAGCAAGCGCUGGUUCGGGGAGCGCAAGAGGAAUACGGCGCUGGGAGAAGUGGCUUGCACACAAUGGCAGGAGGAGAACACGCCGCGUAGCGCAUAGGAAGGAGCAGCACGCAUCCUGCACACGGGAGACGGAAUUGGCCAUCAGGAAUUCGGAGCCUCAUUUCAGGGUCUCACUCCUGACGAGGAGGAGGACUGACACGCAGGGGUUCAGGACCUGUUUACACGUGUGUGUGGAAUCUGGAUCAAUAGGAAUGGAUGGAAUUCAGGAUUGGAUCCACACAUGGCAGGAUGCAAACAGGUGCCGUAAGAGUUGCGCACAACUGUGGGAUGGAAUGGUGGGGUGGGCUGUUGUGGCUAGGACUAGAUGCAGCUUUGGGACGGUUGGUGGGCUCUUUUUCUGCAGCUUUUUACAGAGAAGUACUGGUAUUAUAAAGCAGUACUUAUAGCGUUAGCUGUGUACUCUCACUUAAAAUUGGGCAAUCAAAUUUAGGUAUGCAAUCAAGCCUCAUAACAGUUAUAUUUUACUUGAAAACAAGUUCGUGAUACCUGAAAAUUCGUUAUAAAAUCUGUUCCUAACAUUAUAUUUAGAGGCUACUAGUUUGCAUUUGCUCGGUUGUAACCGAGGUUUGAGUGUAGCUGAGAGCUGUUUCUAAACAAUCAAUGGGCUUGCUUCAAAACGCAGUUUUUUCAGGACUUGUCAGAGGUGAGUAUGAACAAUGGGGCAGCGUGGGAUCAGUGGCAACUUGGAGGUAGAGCAAUCUAGCCUGUAGACCUUGUGUUAUCAGAGUCGAGCUCAUGAUUUUGAGGUGGCAUUAAAAUUGACAUCUGGUUUGA
rnacentral:misc_RNA from 1 species